AGAGUUUGAUCAUGGCUCAGGACGAACGCUGGCGGCGUGCUUAACACAUGCAAGUCGAACGAGAUCCAUUCAGUAGCAAUACUGAUGAAGAUCUAGUGGCGAACGGGUGCGUAACACGUGAGGAACUUGUCCCGGUCUCUGGGAUAACAGUUGGAAACGACUGCUAAUACCGGAUGACGUCGGAACUUCGCAUGGAGUACUGACGAAAGGGUUACUGGGUCGGGAGAGCCUCGCGGCCUAUCAGCUUGUUGGUGGGGUAACGGCCUACCAAGGCAUCGACGGGUAGCUGGUCUGAGAGGAUGAUCAGCCACACUGGGACUGAGACACGGCCCAGACUCCUACGGGAGGCAGCAGUGGGGAAUCUUGCACAAUGGGCGAAAGCCUGAUGCAGCAACGCCGCGUGCGGGAAGAAGGCCCUCGGGUUGUAAACCGCUUUCAGAAGGAACGAAACUGACGGUACUUUCAGAAGAAGGUGCGGCCAACUACGUGCCAGCAGCCGCGGUGACACGUAGGCACCAAGCGUUGUCCGGAUUUAUUGGGCGUAAAGAGCUCGUAGGCGGUUCAGUAAGUCGGGUGUGAAAACUUUGGGCUUAACCCAAAGCGUGCAUCCGAUACUGCUGUGACUUGAGUUCGGUAGGGGAGCGGGGAAUUCCUAGUGUAGCGGUGAAAUGCGCAGAUAUUAGGAGGAACACCGGUGGCGAAGGNNCCGCUCUGGGCCGAAACUGACGCUGAGGAGCGAAAGCAUGGGUAGCAAACAGGAUUAGAUACCCUAGUAGUCC
rnacentral:rRNA from 1 species